AAAUGGCACGCAGCUGUCUGUGAGGAGUGGUAAAUAUGUUUUGUUAAAUAUUGCUGAUCUAUUUGCAAAUAUUUUUAACGGUUAAAUGGCGCGAAAUUAUCCAGAUAAAGGGCUUUAGUAGUUCGAGAUUACGUAUAGUAAGUGCUAGUUUUAUCAGUUUAAUACUGUAGUUGAUAACAUGACUGCUGUAUAGCCUAUUAAAAAGAUCAUGCGUUUUAUCUUGCGAAUGUUAUAAUUGCUACAUUUAAUGUUUAUAUCUUGUUCCAAUUAGUUCUAAUUCUAUUUAGAACGCGUCACAGUGUUUUGAAAUGUAUCUAUUAAAAUAUGAAACAAUUGGAUUGGCUUCAUUCACCGAGGAAACUGAAAUUUGCUGUACGAGAGUUCUAUAUUUGCAUAGAGACAUGGGACGUCCACAAUUUGGAUAGCCUGGCAAUCUGGCAUAAACAAAUCAUUGAGAUAUGGUAUGUGUAUAUUGCAGAAAUUGUCAUAUUGCACUAUUAUGGUGUAUUUUAGUUAUAACUACAUAAAUGUGUGAUAGUAGGGUUAAAUCUGUUCAGAUUUAGUAAAUUAAUUUGUAUUUUUGUUUAUAGGAAAUUCACCUUCAGUGUCAAGAUAUUUUGGAUACUGUUUUGUUAAAAAGUGGAAUAGUAACUCUGACAGGUAUUUUGUUGGUGAU